rnacentral:rRNA from 1 species
UAAUGUAUCGGAACGUGCCCAGUCGUGGGGGAUAACUGCUUGAAAGAGCAGCUAAUACCGCAUACGACCUGAGGGUGAAAGCGGGGGAUCGCAAGACCUCGCGCGAUUGGAGCGGCCGAUAUCAGAUUAGGUAGCUGGUGAGGUAAAGGCUCACCAAGCCGACGAUCUGUAGCUGGUCUGAGAGGACGACCAGCCACACCGGGACUGAGACACGGCCCAG